GCAACCCACUCCAGCGUUCUUGCCUGGAGAAUCCCAGGGACAGGGAAGCCUGGUGGGCUGCUGUCUAUGGGGUCGCACAGAGUCGGACACGGCUGGAGUGACUUAGCAGCAGCAGCAUUGUUACGAUUUUCAUCUUAUAGGUUCACAAAGUUGGGUUAAGAGCUGGCCCAUGCACCGACCCUGAGUGCCCUGUCUCACGCAUCGAACCUGGACUGGAGAUCUAUUUCACACAUGGGAAUGAUUCUUGGAGGAGGUGGAACUUGACUAGGACUCAAAGGAUGGAGGAGAGUAAAUGAGAGGAAAGCAUGUUCCAGAAGUCAUGCCAUACGAGGUUCCUAGCGGCAACCUGAAACUCAUCUGAUGAAAGUGUAUGAGCUCUGUGCAAAAGGAGCUCUGUUUGGGAAAUAUAUUGGCAUUAUAUCCAACUGUACACUAUUCCACUGAGAACAACAAUCAAAAGAUAUCACUUCGCCCUGAAAUCUCAAUACAUUUUUCUUUUCAAGUUUAAUUUUGUGUGUAGUUCCAUUCCCAUCAUCCUUCUUCUCCUUCACAUCUAUAUCUUUAUACUCCCUGUUGGAAGAGAUGAAGUUGAGACUUGGGAAACAGAAUAUUUGUCUGUUUUAGAAAUCCCUUAAAAGAUUAAAGUCAGAAGAUUCUUCUUUUGAAAUUUCUUUGUUUGAAAAUGUGGUUUGAUGAUUUGGGGGUUCAUCGCUUGGUGAAGUCAUUUGCUUUGCUGACACAAAUUAUAAGAUGCACCAUUUUAAGUUAGAAAAUAUAUCAGUAUUUAUCCAUUCAUCCAUCCAUCCACCCAUUACUGUGUAAUAGCCAUAGUGCACCCCCAACUUGAAUAUCAACUCCAUGAAGAGGGGAACUUGGUCUUAUUUAGAACCCCAAGA